GCGGCGGGCGGGGCGGGGGCACGGGGGGCCUACGGGAGGCAGCAGUGGGGAAUUUUGGACAAUGGGCGCAAGCCUGAUCCAGCCAUGCCGCGUGCAGGAUGAAGGCCUUCGGGUUGUAAACUGCUUUUGUACGGAACGAAACGGCUCUUUCUAAUAAAGAGGGCUAAUGACGGUACCGUAAGAAUAGACCGGUCCAA
rnacentral:rRNA from 1 species